UAGCUAGUUGGUGUGGUAAAGGCAUACCAAGGCGACGAUCGGUAGCUGGUCUGAGAGGAUGGUCAGCCACACUGGGACUGAGACACGGCCCAGACUCCUACGGGAGGCAGCAGUGGGGAAUAUUGGACAAUGGGGGGAACCCUGAUCCAGCAAUGCCGCGUGUGUGAAGAAGGCCUGAGGGUUGUAAAGCACUUUCAUUGGGGAGGAAGCCUGUGGGGUUAAGAGCUGUAUAGGUUGACGUUACCUGAAGAAGAAGCACCGGCUAACUCCGUGCCAGCAGCCGCGGUAAUACGGAGGGUGCGAGCGUUAAUCGGAAUUACUGGGCGUAAAGGGUGCGUAGGUGGUUGUAUAAGUUAUCUGUGAAAUUCCUGGGCUCAACCUAGGGACUGCAGCUAAGACUGUACGACUUGAGUAUAGGAGAGGGUAGGGGAAUUUCCGGUGUAGCGGUGAAAUGCGUAGAGAUCGGAAGGAACACCGGUGGCGAAGGCGCCUACCUGGCCUAAUACUGACACUGAGUCACGAAAGCGUGGGUAGCAAACAGGAUUAGAUACCCUGGUAGUCCACGCUGUAAACGAUGUCAACUAGCUGUUGGCCUUAUGAAUGAGGUUAGUGGCGC
rnacentral:rRNA from 1 species